rnacentral:rRNA from 1 species
CAGCCGCCGCGGUAAUACGUAGGUGGCAAGCGUUGUCCGGAAUUAUUGGGCGUAAAGCGCGCGCAGGUGGUUUAAUAAGUCUGAUGUGAAAGCCCACGGCUCAACCGUGGAGGGUCAUUGGAAACCGUUAAACUUGAGUGCAGGAGAGAAAAGUGGAAUUCCUAGUGUAGCGGUGAAAUGCGUAGAGAUUAGGAGGAACACCAGUGGCGAAGGCGGCUUUUUGGCCUGUAACUGACACUGAGGCGCGAAAGCGUGGGGAGCAAACAGGAUUAGAUACCCCUGUAGUCCCUGUCUCUUAUAC